rnacentral:rRNA from 1 species
UAACAUGAGAGUUCGAUCCUGGCUCAGGAUGAACGCUGGCGGCGUGCCUAAUACAUGCAAGUCGAACGGGAACUUUAGAUUGAGACUUCGGUGGAAAUCUAAAAAUUCUAGUGGCGGACGGGUGAGUAACACGUGGGUAACCUGGCUUAGAGAGAGGAAUACCAAUGAGAAAUCAUUGCUAAUACCUCAUAAGCUUACAGCAUCGCAUGAUGCAGUGAGAAAAGAUUAAUCGCUCUAAGAUGGACCCGCGCUUGAUUAGCCAGUUGGUGGGGUAAAAGCCUACCAAAGCAACGAUCAAUAGCCGAUCUGAGAGGAUGACCGGCCACAUUGGGACUGAGAUACGGCCCAAACUCCUACGGGAGGCAGCAGUAGGGAAUAUUGCACAAUGGAGGGAACUCUGAUGCAGCAACGCCGCGUGAGUGAAGAAGUAUUUCGGUAUGUAAAGCUCUAU